CCCUACGGGGGGCUGCAGUGGGGAAUAUUGCGCAAUGGGGGAAACCCUGACGCAGCAACGCCGCGUGAAGGAUGAAGGUUUUCGGAUUGUAAACUUCUUUGAUUGGGGACGAAUAAUGACGGUACCCAAAAAACAAGCCACGGCUAACUACGUGCCAGCAGCCGCGGUAAUACGUAGGUGGCGAGCGUUGUCCGGAAUUACUGGGUGUAAAGGGCGUGUAGGCGGGGAUGUAAGUCAGAUGUGAAAUUCCGAAGCUCAACUGCGGCGCUGCAUCUGAAACUAUAUCUCUUGAGUGCUGGAGAGGAAAGCGGAAUUCCUAGUGUAGCGGUGAAAUGCGUAGAUAUUAGGAGGAACACCAGUGGCGAAGGCGGCUUUCUGGACAGUAACUGACGCUGAGGCGCGAAAGCGUGGGGAGCAAACAGGAUUAGAUACCCUAGUAGUCC
rnacentral:rRNA from 1 species